GGGAGAGUAGCUCAAUUGGUAGAGCGCGAUAAAUGAGUCUUGUAUAAGACUCUGACAGCAAACACAAAUCAUUUUGAAUGACGUUGUUGUGGGUUCGAGUCCCAACCUCUCCCU
rnacentral:tRNA from 1 species